ACGGAAGGCAGCAGUCGGGAAUAUUGCGCAAUGGAGGAAACUCUGACGCAGUGACGCCGCGUAUAGGAAGAAGGUUUUCGGAUUGUAAACUAUUGUCGUUAGGGAAGAUAAAAGACAGUACCUAAGGAGGAAGCCCCGGCUAACUAUGUGCCAGCAGCCGCGGUAAUACAUAGGGGGCGAGCGUUAUCCGGAAUUAUUGGGUGUAAAGGGUGCGUAGACGGGAAAGCAAGUUAGUUGUGAAAUCCCUCGGCUUAACUGAGGAACUGCAACUAAAACUACUAUUCUUGAGUGUCGGAGGGGAAAGUGGAAUUCCUAGUGUAGCGGUGAAAUGCGUAGAUAUUAGGAGGAACACCAGUGGCGAAGGCGGCUUGCUGGACGACAACUGACGCUGAGGCGCGAAAGCGUGGGGAGCAAACAGGAUUAGAUACCCUGGUA
rnacentral:rRNA from 1 species